rnacentral:rRNA from 1 species
UACAGAGGGGGCAAGCGUUGUUCGGAAUUACUGGGCGUAAAGGGCGCGUAGGCGGCCUUCUAAGUCGAACGUGAAAUCCCCGGGCUCAACCCGGGAACUGCGUCCGAUACUGGAAGGCUUGAAUCCGGGAGAGGGAUGCGGAAUUCCAGGUGUAGCGGUGAAAUGCGUAGAUAUCUGGAGGAACACCGGUGGCGAAGGCGGCAGUCCUGGACCGGCAUUGACGCUGAGGCGCGAAAGCGUGGGGAGCAAACAGG